UAGGACUCCUCCUCUAAUUAGGUGACAUCUAAUUCCUAAUUGGAUUAGAUUUUAAUCUAAAUAGUUUGGACUCUUAAUUAGAUUAAGAUUUCAAUCUAUUUGGAUUUAAUCAAUUUUUAAUAUGAUUAAAAUUGGUUAGUGUUUUAUUUGAUUUAAAUUAGCCACCUAAAGAGGAGUCCCAUGGUGUUAGAACUCUACCUCUCCUUGCACCAUUAUGAAGCCCCACACCCACCA
rnacentral:lncRNA from 1 species